GAGGCGGCUCGAGGGCGGGGCCAGAAGCGACUGCCUAAUGCUGCCUUGUGCUCUUCCUCUUCCCCGUCGUAGUCAUUUGAUCGCUGCACGCUGUCGUGGCUCGCUAGUUCACGGCCUAACUUUUGCUCCUCUUGCAAACUUUCUGCGGGAUCCAGACAAAUGGCUGCCGUGCCCCAUGAUUCUUUAGCUAAUAGAAUUGUCUUCAACUGGGAAAGUGGGUUCGCUUGAAUUGUGACCAAAAAAAAAAAAAAAAAGAAACAAACCACGAACUACUUGCGAGUGAACUCGUUGAAAGCCGUUCGACGGAAUUCGGAGACGCGUCGCUGCCAUUUGCUUGAAGCUUCAAAUUCAAAAUGUCCGUCAGUAGUCACGAAAACCGAAAGUCUCGCUCCAGCUCCGGCUCCAUGAAUAUCCAACUUUUCCACAAAACGUCGCAUGCCGACAGCCUCCUGACCCAGCUCAACCUACUUCGCAAGCGUAAAGUCUUCACAGAUGUUGUCCUGAAAGCCGGAAAUCGGGCCUUCCCAUGCCAUCGGGCCGUCCUGGCCUCCUGUAGUCGAUACUUUGAGGCAAUGUUCAGCGGUGGACUGAGGGAGAGCCGUGAUGCCGAAGUCAACUUCCACGACUCUCUCCAUCCGGAGGUCCUGGAGCUGCUGCUCGACUAUGCCUAUUCGGCCCGAAUCCUCAUCAAUGAAGAAAAUGCAGAGUCUCUGCUAGAGGCGGGUGAUAUGCUUCAGUUCCAUGACAUCAGGGAUGCGGCCUCCGAGUUUCUAGAAAAGAACCUCCACCAGUCCAACUGUUUGGGGAUGAUGCUACUGUCAGACGCCCAUCAGUGCCAGAGACUGUAUGAGCUGUCAUGGCGCAUGUGUCUUGCAAACUUCCCUACCCUCUACAAAACCGAGGACUUCCUGAACCUUCCCAGAGACAAAGUGCGGGAGUUGAUCCUCAGUGAGGAGCUAGAGGUAGAGGACGAGAGUCUGGUGUAUGAGGCUGUAAUUGACUGGGUGAAGGCCGACAUGGAACAGAGGCACAGCGAGCUGCCUGAGCUGCUGCGGUGUGUCCGUUUGGCGCUUCUACCCGAGACGUACCUGCUCAAUAACGUGGCUUCAGAAGAGCUGGUCAUGUGUCACAAGGUGGGCCGGGAGAUUGUUGAAGAUGCCGUGCGAUGCAAGAUGAGGAUCCUGCAGAAUGACGGCAUCGUGACGGGGUUCUGUGCACGCCCCAGAAAAGUCAGUCAGGCAUUGCUGCUACUCGGAGGACAAACCUUCAUGUGUGACAAAGUUUAUGUGAUUGACAACAAGACCAAAGAGAUCACUCCCAAGACCGACAUCCCUAGCCCCAGAAAGGAAUGCAGCGCCUGUGCCAUCGGUUGUAAGGUUUAUGUCACUGGAGGGCGUGGCUCUGAGAAUGGGGCCUCCAAAGAUGUCUGGACCUAUGACACUUUGCAUGACGAGUGGUCCAAAGCAGCGCCCAUGUUAGUUGCCAGAUUUGGACAUGGAUCAGCAGAGCUCGACCACAUGCUUUAUGUUGUGGGAGGUCACACUUCUCUUGCAGGGUCCUUUCCUGCCUCUCCAUCCGUGUCACUUAAACAGGUGGAGCAGUACGACCCGCAGACCAAUAAAUGGACGCUGGUGGCUCCUCUCAGAGAAGGUGUUAGCAACGCUGCUGUUGUCGGUGCUAAAAACAAGCUGUUUGCCUUCGGCGGAACCAGUGUCAACAGAGACAAAUACCCCAAGGUUCAGUGCUUUGACCCAUGCCAGAACCGGUGGUCCGUUCCGGCAGCGUGUCCGCAGCUUUGGCGCUACACAGCUGCGGCGGUAGUUGGAAACAACGUAGUCGUGAUCGGGGGCGACACUGAAUUCUCCGCCAGCUCCGCGUACCGCUUCAACAGCGAGACGUACCAGUGGUCAAAGUUCGGCGACGUGACUGCCAAACGGAUCAGCUGUCAUGCUGUGGCGUCAGGAAAUAGACUAUAUGUGGUUGGGGGGUACUUUGGGGCUCAAAGGUGUAAGACCCUUGACUGCUAUGAUCCAGCAUCAGACUCUUGGGACAGCGUGACCAGCGUUCCAUACUCACUCAUUCCCACGGCCUUCGUCAGUACAUGGAAGUACCUGUCAGCCUAGAAACGCAUGGUCCUGUUGAGCUUCCUAUGGCGUCUGGUAAAGAAGAUUGCAACUUCCAUAUGGGGCUGUUGUGCGAUGCCAAAAGGGUGACGUAUAGCAGAGUGCUAGUGAGGGCGUCUGCUGCGCUGCCUGUGUCGACUGUACACAGCUGGUUGUGAUGUGAGCUGGACUGGGGGCGGGAGGAGCUAUAACAUGACUGCUGCUGAGGCCCACUGUCUCUGCGGCAAGCAUUUUAGUUUUUUGGGGGGGCCUGGAUGGAGGCAGACAGGCUGCCUUUGAAAAGAUCAAGGCACCGCAUCCCUUUACAGUUACCGUGGCGACCGCCCACACUGCCUUUACAUUAAAUUACAACAGAGGUGGGGUAAGAAAAAGAGGAAUUUUACAGAGGUCUUCCAUUUGUUGAAGCAGGAGAACUUGUCUAUGUGUGCAUUCCGUGUUUCUAUCUGUGUAAUGCAAUGUAUAACAUUGCACCCAAAUAAAAUAAUGCUACGCUGCGCUUGUAUACACACACACACAAGGACUUGUUGGUGCAGCGCACAUAAGGCCAGAAGAAGCAAAGCUAUAUUUUGCCGGCUUUGGCAGCAGGACUAAUGCCUGCCUAAAAAUACUUGGCUCCAGAGGCUUUCAACUUUCAGCUGGGGUCAGAGGGGAAGAAUAAUUGUGUGUCUGUAGCGCAUGCAUGUGUUUCACUUAAUGUUUAGGGUUGAAAACCUCCACUCAGCUGUGCAUGUUCUGUAUUUGUGCUUUUAUGCAGUUGUGAAACUUAAGCCAAUCAAUAUUUUUCCUCUUCCUCUCUCUCUCUCGCUCUCUCUCUCUCUCUCUCAUGUACACAGACAGAUACACAGGCAGCUGCAUUGUUGACAUUGCCUGUCCUUUCAAAAAGAGCCAGCCAACCUUACUCUAAAUUGGGAGGAAUGAAAGUGUGUCCGUCAUUCUUAAUCAUAAAGAUGUGUGAAUGUUGCCAGAAUGAGAUUGCUAUACUAUGUAAUCCUCGGUUUUGGCUCCGGUGUCAUUUCCAUUCAUCAAUUUUCUAUUGCAUGUGUCCUCAUUAGCUGGAGCCUAUCUCAGCAGACUUUGAGUGAGAGUUAGGGUAAACCCAGGACUGGUCGCCAGUCAAUUGCAAGGCACAUGAAGACAAACAAUAAUUCACACUGCAUGCAUUUUGCAGGAAAAAAACUUGUAAACUCCAUCCAGGACAGGGACUUCCAACCAACUGUGCGGCAAGACAGGUUAACCCGUAUACAGUAAUGUCCUUUUUUAAGGAAAAUUGACAGCAGUAAAUGUAUAUAUGCAGAGUGAAGCUAGUCUAUCAUUUGAAACAUAACUACUUAAAAGCAUGACAAAGGCAAAAAGAUUGUCUUGCUGCUUUAGGCUGAGGGUGGGUUGCAAAUGCAAAUUUGAAUUAGAGGGCCAUAAAGAAGCUGAUUAAAAAAAAAAAAAAAUAAACACUUUGGAGCAUGAAUAAGCAAACAUUUGAAAGUUAGUCUCUAAGUGAAAGUUUUUGAAAAUAACAUUGUAAAUGCUUACACUGUCCAUCUGAAAAAACAAAGGCCACUUGGCAGAGUUUAGUGUGUCCAUGAGUCAUCCUUGGGGCUAUUGUUGUUGUCACUUCUCCAGCAAAGUGUACAUUUUCUAAAAUGUUCAGAAGUCAGGGUCACACCUCCAACUAGUGUUUUUCCUGUACAAGUUUAAUAUGUGCACAGUUUUUGGUCACAGCGUGCUGGCAGAUAGAAUGCGACCAGACUUUUGAAUCAAGUUCAACACAUUGCCCCCCCCCCCCACACACACACACACACUCUGAAACCAGUGAACUGUGACAACCUCACAAAUGACUGCAAUCUAUGCUUCGCACUUUUGUCUCUAGACCAUCACCCCAAUCAUCGUUAGUCAUCACAUCAAAUUCACAAACACAAACACCACUUUGACUGCUUCAACUUAAGCUGUGUGAUAGAGUACACCUGGUAGGGGAGGGGGUCGCCCGGGGGGAGUUCUCGGGGAGUUUGUGGCAUCCCAAGACAGCUGCUAUAAAACAGAAAGGUCGCAGUAGGAUCAAGGAGGAGGAGUGCCGAGGCCCCCAUGCACUCAUACUAAUGUUUUAUUAAUGCCUCACUGUGAGGGCCAUCAGGAGCCCAAACCAAAUGAGGUUUUUAUAAUUGCAUCUGUGUAAAGCAAAACCUCCUCCAUGCCCCCCCCCCCCACACACACACACACAUACUUGGCAUCCAGUCCCUUGAGCAAUCAAUGUGCUGAUUUGCAUAAUUCUAAUGGACUUUUUAUUGGACUUUUCUCUGCACUGUAAGUAAGAGAAAGUGAGGGGAGGGGAGAUGCUCCAAAUGGCUGAAUAAUCACUUGCGCUAAUUUGAUUAGGCCUUCAAAAAGCGACGAGCCAUCAUACAGUUCCAGAGGCCUCUUCGGGUGUGCCAGCUGGCAUGAGCCUAAGUGUGUCUGUGCCUGGAUGCCCCAUUAUCCUCUGCAGCUGCACCAAGAUGCUGGUCUCACCACUUUUUUUUACAGCACAAACAACGCAAACACAAAAAUCCUUGUGACACACUUGAAGGUCAAUGCAGUGGAAUGCUAGAUGGUCAUUAGUAAACAUGGCACAAGACGGCCUUGCUGGACACAAAGACUGAAGAAGGUGGCCUUGUGAAUACAUGGGAAGAUGCAGAUGGAACCUCAAUGAAAGCAGAAAAUGUAAAAAAAAAAGAAAAAAAAUGAGUGCCAUUGUGCACAUGCCAUUUGUUUGAGAAGUAUGUUCUACAUGUGUGUUGUACAUUAUUUAGUGGUUCGUGAUUAUUGUUGGUAGUUCACUAGUAGUCAGGACAUGUUAUUAUGCUUUUGAUAACUUUCUCCUUUCUGAGAUGCUGGGUUGUGCUUCUGUGGGUUUUCUCGAGUUACUUCCUCCCUGAUUCCGGAAAAAAGCAUUUCAGGUUUCAUGAAGACUCAAAGUUGUCCAUAGGUAUGACUGUCACUGGUUGUAGACCAGUUUGUACCCAAAGCACAGAUAGUCUCCUAUCCAAGCUGACUACCUGGAGAAAAACAAUUCAAGGAUAGGAAGAACAUGGAAACGCCGCAUAGGAAGGCCUGAGCCAAGAUUGGAAACCAGGACCUCUUGACUGUGAGACCGAUGUGCUACCUACAGCAAUCACAAUGCUGGCUCGGGUUAAAACAACCACAUGAUGAUCAUAAUAAUAAUAAUAAUAGUAUAUGCAAAUGUCAUGAUUUAAAGACUUUAGUAAAGAGUUGUUUAAAUGUACGAAUGGAUGAUCAGUCCUACACUCAACUCAACAACAGUUUCCACAAGCUGUUUUUUUUGUCUGGAUUAGGCUUGAACUGCUUCCCAUAAUAAACCUAAGAAGUUAAGUAAUGCUUUUAAUUCUAAUUAGCUUUCCAUUUAGCAGGAUUCACCUCAGCGUGUACUCAGGGAGAUGAAGGGGGGUCGUUCAGAGGACCACAGCACUUAUACACACAUGAACACAAGGUUACCUGACCCGGUUUACUGCUCUGGCAUGUUUUUAGUGUGUAGUUUUUUGCGGUUAGGGCAUAGAAGACUGACAAAAACACAGUAGGUGAGUAAUGCACCGGUGACAACUCUUUGUGUUGCGAAGUAGGCUUAUUGUGCCUGUAAAAAGUUGGCUUGCUAAGUUAGGUUGUUGCUCUGUAAAGCAUUUGGAAGUCAAAACAAACUUGUCACCGGCUCCACAUUGCUAGGCCAGAAAAUGACUGGCAGCUGGAUGCUGAAAGCUGAGUAUGAAAGAGCGAUGACCCUUAUGAUUAAAAAAUAACGAUGGUCAUCACUCAGUAAAGUACUAAGAAGUGGGAAGGAGUUUUGUCAUCAUCUCCACUUGCAAAAGAGUAAACGGGUAGUAGAAGCUGAAGCACUCGACAAAAGCAGGCAUUAACCUGUACACAGAGCACACUGCUGUGGUUACUUUAAGUACAUGUUUUUUAGGCUAUGUGUACUUUAAUGAAGUAUUUACGACUUUUACCCCAUACAUUUGAAAACAGAUACAGGAUUUCUACUUCCUACCACUUACUUUCGCAAAAUUGGCAAAAGCAGGUUCUACUAAGUCCUUGUAAAGCACCACUGGUGGAAAAGGGUUGUCAUUGUUGUAUUUAUUUGAUAUAGAGUACAAACACCCUCACAAAGUGCAGCCUGUCACUGAGCUUUAUUUGGGUAAAAGCAGUGGUGGCGACAAAGGACACACCAAUUGUCCGCCGUCCACUCCCUUGUGUGAACCACAGUGGCGUUACGGCGCGGAUCAGUGCAGUCUUUGCUGGUUCUUGUUUUGUUAUCCAAACAAGUCAACCGCAGUUAAACUGUCGAUUAGAGAGCAAGCAUUCAUCCGCUGACGAUGACAAUUAGGGGUAAAAAUUGUGUUCCUCCCUCCCGAAUAGCCAGUGGAACAUUCCAUGCUAACUGCAGGGCACUGAACUAUCUGCGGUGCGAGCUGGAGAUCGACCGAUGCCAAAUAUUUAACAAGAGUUGUGAAAAUGGUGCUCAACCGCUGCAGGAAUGUCAACACGGAUUCAAAAGGGAGGCCUUCAUGCAUUGGCCAGUUAAAGCAAAGGAUUUUCACUGGAGAUCAUUACCUCCUCCAAGGACUUCACUGCCAUUUGUUUAUUUGUAAAUGAUAAACAAUGAGGAUUAUUAUGCAAAAAAUGCAUUUCCACACCGAUAGAUUUUGGAUACCAGUGAAGAUGGUUCCCUUUUUCACUCAUUAUUAACAAUUUAAAGCAAUUCAGAUACUUCCAAAAAUUCUACUGUGAUAAGAGCUUUGCUUAGCUCUUGACUGUAUUAUUUUAGCCCUACCAAAGACUUAAGGAAAAAACUUUUCGAUAUGUUCUACCUCAGGUCACUGAUGAAAUAGAAUUCACAAAAUCACCUCGUCAAAUUUCUUGUUGUUUUUGUUCUUUAUGAAAUACCCAAAGAUGCUACAAGAUUCCACUAAAACUUGUCUGAAUAGUAAAUAGUAGUGGUAUAGUAAAUUGGUGUCAAGGAAGUAUGAUAUGUAUAUAGUACGUCUCAACUGGAGUUCAAGCUUUGUUGGUCGAGUGGAAGUUAAGCCUGGUUUGUUAGUGCAAGUUACAGUGUUUUAUAAAACUGUUUUGGGAUCGGAGUUUGUGGUGUACAUAUUUUUUUUAUUUUAACCAAUAAUAUUGGCAGUUCCAAAUAUUUUGGAGGAGGGGGGUGCUACUUGCGUUCUUUUUUUCACUAUUUGUGGCAAGGCUCUGACCACUCUCAUCUGAGGCCAUUAGAUUGGAAUUCAACCACUACUGCGCUUUUCAAAUAGAAUUACAGUAUAUUUUCAAAUUUAUUUUAAGGGGGCAUUUUUAGAUAAUUUAACUUUAUUUUUUCAAGAGUAAUCUAUGUGACAUUACAGAGAAAAUUCACUCUCAGCAGAGUUGGUGAAAAUAACAGUAGCAUGUUUAUUAGCGACGCGGAUGCCUCGGCACAUUCUACCGAGGUGGUGGUGCCAUUAACACUACACCUAAUGAGCUAAUGGUAAACGUUAUAAAAUAUCACUUUGACGAGCUGAGGGGAGACCUGGAGGCCUCCGUGCAUUCUUGUGUGGUCAUGUACCCUCGCCGGGUCGUCAUUGGACUAGAACAUUAAUCUCCGUCUUUUACCCUCUCU